GACCUAACCCGUAGAAAUUUACUUUUCUACGGUAUGGUCGCAAAGCGUUCCAGACAAAAACCCCAUCACAAGGGCGUCUGGAACGUUACCUAGGGAAACUUAGGUAGGGCCAUUUGGCCU
rnacentral:sRNA from 1 species